GCCGGGCAUGCUGGUGCAUGCCUGUAAUCCCAGCUACUCGGGAGGCUGAGGCAAGAGAAUCACUUGAAUCCAGGAGGCGGAGGUUGCAGUGAGCUGAGAUCAUGCCACUGCACUCCAACCUGGGUGACAGAGUGAGACUCUGUCUCAA
rnacentral:SRP_RNA from 2 species